rnacentral:lncRNA from 1 species
AGGCGAGGGCCGAGCGCGGCGAGCGCGAGCGGGAGGAGGCGGCGCGCCGGCUGCGGGACCAGCGCGCCACUGAGCGCCGGCUCCGCGCGCAGCUGGAGGAGCUGCGCUGCCGCGUCUACGAGCUGCAGCUGUCGGAGAUCGGCCUGCAGGGCCAGGUGGAGGACCUGGCCGAGCAAAACAGGAGCCUGCGAGAGAAGCUGGGAGGCCAGGCCCCCCGGGACAGCGCGCGCAGCACGGCCCCUGAUGGUCACGGCAGCCUGGAGGCCCCAGGCCGUGUUCAGGACGGACCUCAGCCCCUGCCGGGGGAGAAGGCACCAGAUGCCUGCAGAAGCCAUGGCCGGCACACCACCCUCCGCUCCCACGGGGCCCCUGGACCCAGGGCCUCAGCAGGUGUGUGGGGCCGUGGUGCAUGGGGCACGAGGUGGACACUGCGUGGAUGCCCACUGUCGGGCUACCUCGCUGAUGCCAUUCUGAUGACGCAGGGGGUGGUUGCCCCACUCUGCAGACAGGAAGCUGAGGCUCAGAGAGAGAGUGUCGCUUACUCAGAGUCACACAAAAAGUGGGAUCCGAGUCCACAAUGCCCGUGACAAUGUCCUCGACUGGGGCUCAGCUGGACGUUUCAGUUCCCUCCUUCAGCCCUCAGAAGGGUGCCCGCAGGUGUCCUCCGGGGGAGCCGUCUCCGCAGAAGACCGUGUGAUGUCCAGGUGUUCGUCUAUCCCCACCCACCCCGGUGACAGCCCAGGGGUGAGAAGGGGUGGCUCCAGGAGCUGCUGGGCCUAGAACCCUUCGUCCCUAACUCGUCCCUAGUGGGAACCAGUGUCUCUGAACAGUCUCAGCACGGCUUCCAGGGUCCCUGCACACAGCUCACUGCACUCAGGAGCCCCAGGCUGCAGUGUCCACCUGGGUGUCUGUGGUCUGUUUAGUCCUCCAAGGUCAAAUGCGGUUUGCGGAUGAGGGGUCAUUAUACCCAGCGGUGCUGCUGACCAGCAAGGCUGACGUCCCCCUCUGUCCCAUUUCUGAGGAGCAGAGCUGACCAGCCAAACAAGGUCAAACUUGUCCUGGAGAAGGGAAUCGGCGCUUGCCCGGGGGUGAAGCCUGGGUGCCAGCUCCCUUGGCCACAUGCCGACUGUGGGGCGGGGAUUGUGACCCUGUGUGACCAUGACGGUGCCAGGCUGAGGGAAGUGUCCUGGAUUUAGUCACCUGUGUGAGUCCAUUGGUCAGCAGAGGUGGCUUCCAGACCCGGUUCCACUGCCCGUCAGUGGAUGGUCAUUUCCCAUCUCUGAGCCUCAGUUUCCUCCCCUGGCGGGUGACGUGAGCACCCGGCUGCCUGCAGGGGCUCAAAGGCCUUGAGUCAGCGGGAAGUCCUCUCUCAUCCUAACAGCAGGUGGUACACCCGCUGGUGGUGAUUGUGGGAAAGUUCUAGGAAGGUCUUUUAACUGUUGGGGUUCUGUCCCUUCCCAGGCCAGCCCCCCGAGGGUCCCUGCGCCUGGGUCUGCAUCGGGGCUGGACGGGGCCCCUCUGAUUCGGUGUCAGGCCUGGAGACCACGGCCGAGCUCCUGGGGGUGCUUGCAGGACGUGACCGUGCACAGGUGAGGCCAGAGGCUUUCUGCGCGCCCAGGGCACCAUCUGAGUCUGAUCAGCCCUGCUGUGUGUGUUGCACAGUGUGGUUACCACACAGUAGGUGGGAGAAAGGGGUAAAGAAGCUCUGGGUUUGGAAGAACUUUCUGGAAAUGGCUGAGAGGGAGAUUUGAGGAGACGGAAUAGAAUGCCCUGAGACAUGGUGGGGAGUGGGCGGGAAGAGGCCCCGCUGUGUGCCUGGCCCGGCUGCCACGUAGCACACUUUAUCCCGUUGACACCUCCCCACUGCCUGUGAGGCGGGAGCCGUGACCCUGUUCUAGAGAGGGGAAGACGGGACUCCAAGAGCUGCUGUGACUUCCAAGGCCACACAGCCCGGGAGCAGGACCCGGAGCUCCCGUGUCCAUGGUCCACACUCUGCGCCACGCUAUCCCCUGUGGACAGGAGCUGGGUUCCAACCGGCCCUGCGGUGGCUCCCCCUGAGGCCGCAGCAAGGCACAGCCUUUCUCAGCUUCCGUUCUCCUGUCACUAAAGAACAGAGAUGCGCGCGGACCAGAGCUAAGCCACCAGCCCUGGUGUGGGUCUGUGGUUCUAGCCCUAGAGGGGCCUUCUUCGCUUCUGUGUUCAUUCGCGUCCUGCUCAGAGCCCCUGCGUGGUGUGCCGCUCACACCAGAGGGAGGAGAGAGCUGGAGAACCUGGACCCCACAGAGGGAUGGAGUUAGACAGACAGGACGACAGGGACGGGCAGUGAAAGGGCGGGCUGGGUGGGUUGACCCGCCAGGUGAAGACCAGGCCGUGACGCUGGGCACGGUGUGGGGCUGGGGUGGGACCAGGGUCGUGUGAGGGCCCACAGCAAGCCUGGGGGUGAAGCCAACUUCGUCUCCCAGGCGCCCCUCCCUUCAGCAGGCCCGGACCCCAGCCCAGCAGGGGCCUGUCCUGUGAGCUGGGCUAGUCCCCCUCUCUGGAUAAACGCCUCCAGUAAGUGAAUAUAAAAAUAUCUAUGACACACCUCCCGUGUGCCUGGCAUCAUUCUAGGCCCAGUGUCCCUGCCCUCGGGGAGGAGUCCACCCCAGUGCUGUCCGCUAGAUCCUUCCGCAAUGUUGGACACGUUCUACUGUGCUGUCCGAUAUAGCAGCCGUGAACCACAGGUGGCUUCUGAGCGCUUGAAAUUGGCUGGGUGGCUGCAGAACUGAAUUCUAACUUUUAUGUAGUUGCUUUAAGUUUGGAAAGCCCCAUGUGGCCUGUGGGUACGGCAUAGGACAGCGUGGGGCCGUAGGCGCACUUGGACAAUACACACCUAAAUAUGUGAUGUGAGAGAGUGGUGGGCGCUGUGGAGGGAAAUAAAGUGGGGCCAAUAGACA